AUGGGUGGAGCGGGCGACCAGGAUCCGCGACGCCACCGCGGUGUGGAUUCGGCGCGUACAGGAGUGGAAGGCGGCAGAUCAGGCGGUGUCAGCGGCGAUAGAUCCGAGCGUGAGAUCUGUGGCGAUGAGAUAUGCAGAGAGUUGUCAGAGGAGAGCAGAUCUAGAGCAGAGGAUUUUGGCGAGGGUGAUCUACGACGAGGCCACAUCGGAAGAAAGAGCAAGGAUGCCCGCCUUCCCGCACUCCCCGCCGGCUACGUUUGUUCUGUGGGCGAGGGCAGAGGCGAAAUCAGAGGAACCCCAGAGGGCGCUGCGGUGGGAAUGCUUGCUGGGAGUGAUGCCAUCGGGUGCACCACUGCAGCUCUCGUCCUCGCCGCCGGAGACCAACCGUAUUUGAGCCCAUCUUCGCUGGCAGAUGCCACCAUCUCCUUCUUCGGAGCCGAUCGAUCCAUACCUGUUGCCGGAGUUCUGAAGGGAUCUGGGUUGGGGACACCUGAAGUUUCUGAACUUGGAGGUACGCUAAAGAGCAGGCAGGUUAUGUUUGAUCCUGGUGGUUCAACGUCAGAUUGUGUGACUGUACAUGGAAAUGAUAUGGUGGAAUCGAGGCUUGGAGGAAGAUUUUGGGCCCUGGAUCAAUUGGGUGAUGAUGAUGAUGACAUUCUAAAUGAGGACACAAAGCAACACAACCCUUAUCUGGCGACAAUUACAGACACAUUUGCUUGUGCUAAGCAUGUGAAGAAGAAUGGGAAGAGAAGAGAUAAGAAUCUGAACAAGAAAAUCAGUAGCAAAGAUGAAGGGGGAGGAAAAUCGGCAACUAAACAAGUGAGGGAGGACGCAAAAAUUGAACUAUAA
rnacentral:rRNA from 1 species